CGUCACAAAUUGACAAAAUCCGUGACGAUCUCAAACCGUCACAGUUGAGCCCAAAGCCUAGUUAGCCCAGCCCAAGCCCAAUACCUAUGACGGUUCUAAACCGUCACAAAUAAAUUGCCACAUCAUCAUCAGACUGCUUACGUGGAUGAUAACAUGGAUGCUUACAUCACCAACUGGCCCAUCUAUUUUUAUUUUAAGAAGAAAUCCCAACAUUCAUUGAAUGACAAAUAUGGUGAAAUUUCAUUAUAGCAUUCUGAAUUAUACAUUUACAACCAUUUGGUCAAAUAUAUUUAUAUAAAAAGAUUUACAAAUUGAUGAUGAAUCAAUUUAAAAACUACACUAAUUCAAACAGCUAACAUUGUCUAUCCACCAUGCCGCGAUAAGCAAAUAAGCAAUGCAACCGCCUUGGUGAAAUGAUGUUCCUUGGUCAAGCACUUCUCCAAUAUUGUUUUAUCCACCAAUUCUCUUCCUAAAAACCAGAAAAAGAAACGUUCGAUCAAAUGGUGAUUCAAAGAACUUAAUAGAUAGCACUGCAACGACAAGAUAAUGUAACACUACUAAUUGUUGAAUUAUAGAUUAGAACACAAAAACUAUUAAUUCCUGUAAGAAAAACUUAUGCAUCUACUCAAUAGUCUGGCUGCUGUUUCAUCAAAACAGGAAUAAAUGCAAGUAACACAUACACGGAAGAUAUAUUGCCAUAGUCAGUGCACCUAGAGAAAUACAUGAUUUGCCAAGGGAGCAUAGCUUUGAAUUACGGUGGCAAAAAGAGAAAUAACAGGUCAACCAGCAAACUUAGAGUUUUCUGAAAUCUCAAUUACCACCCUUGUUUUUUGUGUGCCUGCUGAAAAAUAAAUGCUACUGUUACUACAUACUAUACUAUCGAAAAUGUCCAGCAUGCUUUAAAAUUAUUAAACUUCUUGUUUAGCAAACAGGAGGUUAGAACCUAUAAUACUCACUCAAACCUAUUCCAAAUGGCCUGUAGUUGCACAAUAGAUAGCAGUCAUCGUCAGAUUUAUUUGUCAUACAUAUAUGAUGCUUAAAUCCCUACAGAAGGUGUCGAUGGAAAAAUAGAGGGCUACAAGCAGGAAAUAGUAGUACACUUGCCAUCAAUUUAUUACAAGUACAAGUGACAUCACAACAGUAGGAGCUAACUAACCAUGCUAACUAGAAGCAGCUCCCUGACUACCUAUGGUCGAAUUAAUAAGCAGUUGUAGUAUACUGAACUUCCAAAGAUUAAUUUAACUAGGAGCAGUACACUGAACUACAUCUUUAAUCUAGACUUUGGCCGAUGGCUAUAUGCAUCCAGAAUACAAGAGACCACCAGCAAAUUUAUAGUUUAAUGGUGAACUACAGAAUUAAGUAUAUUAAAAUCUACACUACUGCAUUACAUGCAGAACAUAUCACUGUAAAUAGCACAAAAAACAAAGAGAAUGCCUGUUGAUGUGUUAAUGUAAGGUAAAGGCAAUUAGGGAACGAUGUGGGACAUUACACUAAAAUGAGCAGUAGAAGAUUGACUGUUCUAUUUCCAGAAUACUAAACCUAUUGUUGCCACUGAAGAAAACUAGUAGCUGUCCAUCUGCUCCUUGAAGCUGUGGUUGCUGAAUUACAGUGAGAAAAACAACCAGGCAAAAGCAUGAGCUGUUGUUGUACUAGUUAAUAAAAACAUGUAGUCUUCAAAAUUCAUCAAAAGUGAACUAAAACAAAACCAGCUGAACUGAAAUAUAUUAUUUUUAACUUGGGCUAUGAGAAUGUUAUCACUUUGAUGAAGCAAAAUUGAUUUCAAUUCGAACAGCACAUAUUAGUUGUAAGCCGAAGAAAGGUGGAGAUAUUUAGAAAAUUUUUCUAACCCUAGAGCUGAACUACAAUUAAAACAGGUUGAAAGAGCCUAAAAUUAUUAUUCAUAACACUAUGAGAAUGCACAGUUUCUUGGGUGUUAGAUAACCUGGGACAAAAUAUCACCACAAUAGUAUAGCUAAUCAUUUAUUGAACACUUCAUUGAAAAAUAUAUACAAGAAUAACAUGUAUAAGUAUGAUUUUUAGAGUGUUCUCCGAGCUUGUCAAAUUUAUGUUUUUAUUGAUGCUGAACUGAAUUCAUAUUCAAAAAUACAGAAUCAUGUUGCUGUUGCCGGUUAACAGAUGCAAAGCCAACACCAUUGAACUGCUGCUAAUUCAGAAGAAAUCCAAAACCUGAAAAAUUCAGAACUGCAGAAAUUCAGAACCCUAACGCAUCAUUGCAGGACAUCAGUGAAUGGGUUAUGCAAUUUAUACUCUGAAUAGGAUGAAUUUAUGUUAGCAUCUAUUGGAAAUUACUAACCUCUGGUCUCCCAAAAACAAAGGCCUGAGAAGACCUCUACCAAAUCUAACCACAGAGAAGGCCGUCAUCGCCAGCAUCCUGGCAGAGCUUGUCACGCCAAAGCUACACGCCACCAUGCCUCUGCAUCUGCCGGAGCAGCAUGCUGCUAGGCAGGGCAGCGUCCGCCCAGAGCUGCACGCCUCCAAGCCGUUGCAUCUACCCGGAGCAGCACUAUCAGGCCGCCUCUGCCCAGAUCUCGGAGUCACGCGCCACCAGGCCACAUCUACCGCCGCGCCACCAUGCCGCAUCUACGGGAGCCGCCUGCUCCAGGCCGCGUCCGCUAGUGUGGCGUGGGAUGUGCGUGGCACCUGCUGGAAGGGAG
rnacentral:lncRNA from 1 species